CCUACGGGGGGCAGCAGUCGAGAAUCAUUCACAAUGGGGGAAACCCUGAUGGUGCGACGCCGCGUGGGGGAAUGAAGGUCUUCGGAUUGUAAACCCCUGUCAUGUGGGAGCAAAUUAAAAAGAUAGUACCACAAGAGGAAGAGACGGCUAACUCUGUGCCAGCAGCCGCGGUAAUACAGAGGUCUCAAGCGUUGUUCGGAAUCACUGGGCGUAAAGCGUGCGUAGGCUGUUUCGUAAGUCGUGUGUGAAAGGCGCGGGCUCAACCCGCGGACGGCACAUGAUACUGGGAGACUAGAGUAAGGGAGGGGGAACCGGAAUUCUCGGUGUAGCAGUGAAAUGCGUAGAUAUCGAGAGGAACACUCGUGGCGAAGGCGGGUUCCUGGACAUUAACUGACGCUGAGGCACGAAGGCCAGGGGAGCGAAAGGGAUUAGAUACCCGAGUAGUC
rnacentral:rRNA from 1 species